GGUUCGAUUAUGGCUCAGAUUGAACGCUGGCGGGAUGCUUUACACAUGCAAGUCGAACGGCAGCACGCAGACUUCGGUCUGGUGGCGAGUGGCGAACGGGUGAGUAAUGUAUCGGAACGCCUAGUAGUGGGGAUAACUACGCGAAAGCGUAGCUACUACCGCAUUACUACCUCUCGGGAAAGCGGGGACCCUUCGGGCCUCGCACUAUUAGAGCGGCCGAUAUCGGGAUUAGCCACAGUGGGGUAACGGCUCGAUCAAGGCGACGAUCCGUAGCCGGUUUGAGAGAGGACGACCAGCCACACUGGGACUGGAGACACGGCCCAGACUCCUACGGGAGGCAGCAGUGGGGAAUUUCGACAAAUGGGAAACCCGAUCCAGCCAUCCUGGCGUGUGCGAUGAAGGCCUUCGGGUUGUAAAGCACUUUGGCAGGAAAGAAACGGCACGGAUAAUACUCCCGUAAAACUGACGGUACCUGCAGUAAUAAGCACCGGCUAACUACGCCAGCAGCCGUAAUACGUAGGUGCAAGCGUUAAUCGGAAUUACUGGGCGCAAAAGCGUGGCGCAGGCGGUUCGGAAAGAAAGAUGAAAUCCCAGAGCUUAACUUUUGAACCGUGACACCGAGCUAGAGUGUGUCAGAGGGAGGUGGAAUUCGCGUAGCAGAAAUGCAGAUAUGCGGAGAACACCGAUGGCGAAGGCAGCCUCCUGGGAUAACACUGACGCUCAUGCACGCGUGGGGAGCAAACAGGAUUAGAUACCCUGGUAGUCCACGCCCUAAACGAUGUCAACUAGCUGUUGGGGCCUUCGGGCCUUUGGUAGCAGCUAACGCGGCGAAGUUGACCGCCUGAGUACGGUCGCAAGAUUAAAACUCAAAGGAAUUGCCGGGGACCUGCACAAGCGGUGGAUGAUGGAUUAACGGAUGCACGCGAAAACCUUACCUACCCUUGACAUGUCUGGAACUUCGAAGAGAUUUGGGAGUGCUCGCAAGAGAACCGAACACAGGUGCUGCAUGGCUGUCGUCAGCUCGUGUCGUGAGAUGCGGUUGUCUCGCAACGAGCGCGAACCCUUGUCAUUAGUUGCUACGAAAGGGCACUCUAAUGAGACUGCCGGUGACAAACUGGUAUGUGGUCAAGUCCUCAUGGCCCUAUGGGUAGGGCUUCACACGUCAUACAAUGGUCGGGACAGAGGGUCGCCAACCCGCGAGUGGGCGCCAAUCCCAGAAACCCGAUCGUAGUCCGGAUCGCAGCCCGCAACCUUUCGACUGCGUGAAGUCGGAAUCGCCAGUAAUCGCGGAUCAGCAUGUCGCGGUGAAAUACGUUCCCGGGUCUUGUACACACCGCCCGUCACACCAUGGGAGCGUGGGUUUUACCAGAAGUAGUUAGGCCUAACUGUAAGGAGGGUGAUUACCACGGUAGAUUCAUGACUGGUGAAGUCGUAACAAAGGUAG
rnacentral:rRNA from 1 species